rnacentral:rRNA from 1 species
CCCUUAGAUGCUCUGGGCCGCACGCGCGCUACACUGGUCGAUGCAACGAGUUUCUUUCCUUGGCCGACAGGCCUGGGCAAUCUUUGAACAUCGAUCGUGAUCGGGAUAGAUUCUUGUAAUUUUUGAUCUUAAACGAGGAAUUCCUAGUAAACGCAAGUCAUCAGCUUGCAUUGAUUACGUCCCUGCCCUUUGUACACACCGCCCGUCGCACCUACCGAUUGAAUGUUUCGGUGAAGAUUCCGGAUAGGACUUUUUUGAUUUAUUUCAAUUCUGUCUUAAAAGCUAUCUAAACCUCAACAUUUAGAGGAAGGUGAAGUCGUAACA